rnacentral:lncRNA from 1 species
GAAUUAAAACAAACUUUUGGACUAUUUUUUUUUAAUUGUUCUUUAUGUUUAAAACUUGCAGAGAUAGAAGCAGGCUUCUGAGGUACGGGGUCUUGCUGUGUGCUCUCUCUCCGUGCUGCCGUUAAGCCAAAACAAAAGCUGUGAACAUAGGUGCUUGAGAGAAUGCGUGUUGACAGGAAAGUGACUGAUUUACAGACCCAAGUCUUUGUCUCAUGAAACUACCAAAAAAGAAUGUCACCUUUUUUCUUUGUUGUGGAACCAGAGAUUAUAAAAAGGAAAAAAAAGGAAAAAAAAAAGUUGUCUUGUUGUAUUUUUGAUGCUGGCACAAGGUUCUUGUCCACUUUGGUUUUUCUUAUCUCUGUAUGUAAGAAAUUCUGUUUGUUGUUUACUAUGGAAUUAGUAUUACAUUUUGAGGUAAACAAAGAAUUUGUAUUGCUUGAUAAACUAUUAGCUUGUAAAUUAAAAUUUUUUUCUUUACCUCAGUUAACUUAAGUAAUGGACCAAUAAACCUAUCAAAGCUGCUUCAUUUCUUCCG